GGUGGUGGUGUCACGUGGUUUAGCGACGACAGUGGAGGAAACCGGCGGAGCCGGUGUCAUUUUUCUGAGCGGCGAUAGCUUCUGCCGACGCGUAUUUUCCGGCAACAGAUUCUCCGGCGCCGCUCGGAUUUGCUAUUUUCCGGUGGUGGAGAUUAUGCUCAGUGACUAUGUUUUGGUUUAGAGAGGUUCUAGUCAAAACUAUGGUUUGGGUGUUUCAAGCAACGUCUAGGGUUCGGGCCAGUUCAUUGUUCGGGUCGCGACAGAAUCUUGGGUUCGGGCAUCGGGUCGACUCGGUCAAACCGAGUCAAUUCAGUCAACCCUGGUCAACGUAGUGAGUCAACUCAGUUGACCCGGUCAACUCGGUUGACCCGGUCAACUCAGUCAAAUGGUUCGAUGUUUCGACACGCGAAGACUCGGUAAAGGAUUUAUGACGAUUAUUAUUCAUUUGUUAUUAUUAUACGCAAAACCGAGCUCGAACUGAUUCGUAUUGAUUAUAGUUACAUUUUA